GAUGAACGCUGGCGGCGUGCCUAAUACAUGCAAGUCGAGCGAACGGACGAGAAGCUUGCUUCUCUGAUGUUAGCGGCGGACGGGUGAGUAACACGUGGAUAACCUACCUAUAAGACUGGGAUAACUUCGGGAAACCGGAGCUAAUACCGGAUAAUAUUUUGAACCGCAUGGUUCAAAAGUGAAAGACGGUCUUGCUGUCACUUAUAGAUGGAUCCGCGCUGCAUUAGCUAGUUGGUAAGGUAACGGCUUACCAAGGCAACGAUGCAUAGCCGACCUGAGAGGGUGAUCGGCCACACUGGAACUGAGAAACGGUCCAGACUCCUACGGGAGGCAGCAGUAGGGAAUCUUCCGCGAUGGGCGAAAGCCUGACGGAGCAACGCCGCGUGAGUGAUGAAGGUCUUCGGAUCGUAGAACUCUGUUAUUAGGGAAGAACAUAUGUGUAAGUAACUGUGCACAUCUUGACGGUACCUAAUCAGAAAGCCACGGCUAACUACGUG
rnacentral:rRNA from 1 species